UACGAAGGGUGCAAGCGUUACUCGGAAUUACUGGGCGUAAAGCGUGCGUAGGCGGUUUGUUAAGUCCGCUGUGAAAUCCCCAGGCUCAACCUGGGAACUGCGUCUGAUACUGGAUGGCUUGAAUUCGGGAGAGGGAUGCAGAAUUCCAGGUGUAGCGGUGAAAUGCGUAGAUAUCUGGAGGAAUACCGGUGGCGAAGGCGGCAUCCUGGACCGACAUUGACGCUGAUGAGCGAAAGCUAGGGGAGCAAACGGG
rnacentral:rRNA from 1 species